UAACGAAGUCUGAAACCCCCUAAUGCUAAUGUCCUCUCCAAUGUCCAAUGAUCUGACCUCCUGACAGCACACUCAGUCAAAUUAAAGUCACUCCCCAGAAGUCAUCUCCUCACAGUCGUUCCCAAUCAGUGCUGCACCAUCAUAUGUGUCAAUAUGUAGAUUAUAAGAGAGGGGAGGAGGCUGGAUCCAUCCACCCGGCUGCUGCACAGAGUGGACCUUUGUAAAAAGCCAGCUAAAUUGACAGUGAAUCAUCCUGACAGAUCAGCGUCUUGCUCUUUCUUUGGUCAUUAUAUCAGCAGAUGAAUGGCGAGGCGGGGAGUGAGGACGGCAGACAGAGAGUAAUGGGAGCGUUUCCAUUCAGGAGAUGUGUUAUGUCUUCCUGUGCUCGGUGUGCUCCUUCUGACUGGUACGGUUAUCAAUGAAACUAAUUGCCAGUUUCAACUUUAAUCAAUUCCUCUCUGUUGGACACAUUUUUUCAUGCACUAUUGCAUUAUGUGAGUGAUCUAGUCCUGGGUGCACAUCCGUGAACUCAGUAAUUCAGGUAUGAAUGUGGAAUGGGGACAUUUGCACAUUGAUCGACUGGAACACCAAAUUAUUUGCUUGGGGAUGAAUAAUCUUUGGAUAUUUUGUCAAUUUCUACCUAUUAGACCUUCAUAUCAUGAACAUACAGGCUGGUGUCUCCUCGUGGUUUUAAAUACAACUGGAAAGUCAAUCCAUUUACUUGACAGCAGGGGUCCAUUUGGAAUAAAGAAACCACUGACAGCUAACAAAUCAUGCCCAGGUUUGUGAUUGUUUCCCCCGUUUUUAUAUGAAUAAGUAAUAGAGGAGUGUUAAAUCAACCUUGGUUUUCUUUGCAAAAUGAUUAAAUACAACCCCAGCCUGUAGAAUAAGAACAGCGUCUACUUCUAAGCUGCUUUGUUCUUUGUACUAAAAUUAGAGAGUUUGUUUUAUAAAACAAAGUUUGAAUCAAAUUCUAUUUUUAGCUUGGCAGCACCACUAUAGCAGUGUCAUGAAGUUAGUUUAGUACCUUGGGCUGGACUGGAUGUCAAAGAUACUCCAUUCAUUUUCUAUUUACAUUGUCUUCAGAGGAUAAACAGGCUUUGGUGCAGCAUUAUAAUUUCUGUUUAUUUUAUACUAAGUGUCAACACCUACUGGAUUAAUUACCAUUAGGUUUUUCUACUGACAAUCAUGGUUCCCAGAGGAUUAUCUUUAUGCCUUUGAGUAUCUUUUCCCUUCUUGAAGUUGACAUUUGUGUAUUUCCGUAAAGAGUCUCCCUAUUGGAGAGGUUGCCAUGAAGACAUUCAUAAUCCCCAGAGGAUGACUCUUAAUGAUUUCUGUGAUCCCCGGACUCCUCCACCACUGAAUUCAAAAGGUCAUAUGUGCCAUAAUCCAGCAAAUUAUCCUAGCAUUGAGCAUUUGGUGCAGUGGCGUUACUUCCUUUCCUAACAGUAUUGAUCCCAAGAUGAUGAACCUUGGUGACUUCUCCCAAAGCAUGACCACAAAAUGAAGCCAAUAUUUGUGAUUUUUUUCAAAGAUUAUUUUUUAUUUUUUGCAUUUAUGAAACAAGAAAUAUGGGGAUGGAGUGGUGGAAGACAUACACCAAAUCACUGGGAGUGUUUCCCCUGUAAAUGGGGCACCCACUUUGCCAUCUUAGCUUAACUGGGAUCCCUGUAUUUGUGAUUUAGUUGAAUAAUUCAAGCAACUAUCAGAAAUUGUGGUUUGGUUAUCUUACGUUUUGGUACAUUCAAAGAAGAUACCAUUUUCUCUGGUGCCAAAAUUAGAUCAUUUUAUAUCAUCAUAAAACGGCAAAAUGUUAGCAUGUCAUCAGAAUAACCUAAGAUAGUUAACAAGGUAAUCAUAAAACCUGCUGAACACCACUAUGUCAGUACUGAGAAGCACAAUGGCAUGCAAAUAGAAGCAUUUCGCUCAAGGCAACACUGUAGCCAAGUCCAGCCCCACAGAGAUGCUUAACCUUGGCUCUAAGUCUUGUAUAUCAUUACUUCAUCAUAUCCCUAUGGCAACCAGCAACC